UCCCCACAGGCCACGCUCCAGGAGAGAUGCAGCCUCACGGCCUCCACCCUGGCUGUGCCGUCCCGUCCCCACCGGCCACACUGCACGGCCUCCACCCUGGCUGUGCCGUCCCCGUCCCCACCGGCCACACUGCACGGCCUCCACCCUGGCUGUGCCGCCCGGUCCCCACAGGCCACGCUGCAGGCGAGGUGCAGCCUCACGCCUCCACCCUGGCAGUGCCAUCCACCUGAGACUCCUGUCUCCAGGCAUCCCCACGCCUCUUCUGUCUCCUCCUCCGGGUUUUGUUUUCUGUUUGUUUCAGGACGGGCGUGUUGCUCUGUCGCCCAAGCUGGAGUGCGGUGGCACAAUCACAGCUCACUGCAGCCUCGACCUCCUUGGGAUGGUCGGUGCCACAGAGAAAAAUCAGCACUGAGACAAAGGCUCUUUGAGCAACGCAGUUUUGACUUCGUGGACUGCAGGAGGGCUCCUCUAGAGAGAUGCCCAGCUCUACCCGAGCCUCCCAGUUAUCCGUCUAAACGAGGGACACUUCACUGCCAUCGCACAGUUCUCACUAGGCUGACCGCCCCUAGGAGCUGAGCUGCCCCUUGGCCCCAUCUAGGCCUCAGUUUCCCCACCCACGCUCCGGCCCCGCUCCGUGGGAUUCUAAACCGCUGCCCCAACGUGGGAGUUGAACGGAAACUACAACUCCCGAGAGGCCGAGCGGCCAAAGACACGGGAGAACUGCGGAGCGAGAGUCUCGUGCAGCCAACUGUCGCGCUCGUAAGGCUCGGGUUGCCCUUGGCGCUGCCGGUCCCAGAUGUUGCUGCAGUCAGGCCUUCGCGGAAGGCAGCCCAGCUCCGGGCGGGGUAAAGCGAAGGGGACCUGACUGGCGUUCGGCGCAGGCGCAGUCCGCGCGAGACGUCACUAGCGCAUGCGUAGGGGGUGCGAGUGGCGACCGCCAUGGACGACGAGGAGGAGACGUACCGGCUCUGGAAAAUCCGCAAGACCAUCAUGCAGCUGUGCCAUGACCGUGGCUACUUAGUGACCCAGGACGAGCUUGACCAGACACUGGAGGAGUUCAAAGCCCAGUUUGGGGACAAGCCGAGCGAGGGGCGGCCGCGGCGCACAGACCUCACCGUGCUGGUGGCACACAACGAUGACCCCACCGACCAGAUGUUUGUGUUCUUUCCAGAGGAGCCCAAGGUGGGCAUCAAGACCAUCAAGGUGUACUGCCAGCGCAUGCAGGAGGAGAACAUCACCCGCGCCCUCAUCGUGGUGCAGCAGGGCAUGACGCCCUCUGCCAAGCAGUCUCUGGUUGACAUGGCUCCCAAGUACAUCCUGGAGCAGUUUCUACAGCAGGAGUUGCUCAUCAACAUCACAGAGCAUGAGCUGGUCCCUGAGCAUGUCGUCAUGACCAAGGAGGAAGUGACGGAGCUGCUGGCCCGAUAUAAGCUCCGAGAGAACCAGCUGCCCAGGAUCCAGGCAGGGGACCCCGUGGCUCGAUAUUUCGGGAUAAAGCGUGGACAGGUGGUGAAGAUCAUCCGGCCCAGCGAGACAGCUGGCAGGUACAUCACCUACCGGCUGGUGCAGUAGCCGCCACCUGGACAGCUCCCACAGGCGGCCACACACACAGUGACCUGGUCACCCACAGGAGGGUGCCCCUGCUGGAGUCCAGCCCCCCAGCUCCUUCAGCUGCUGCUCCUCUGGACUCCCCAAGGGCCCUCCAUGUCCUCUCCCUGGUCCCUUCUGCCAAGGUUGCAGCUGCCCCAAAGAACAGACCUGAUUAGAAACUUUAUUCCAGCAAAAUAAACGUGCCUGUGAGAGAAUUCCACGGUGGCUCGGAGACCCCAGUGUACCUGAGCCCCAGGUGGCCAUACUGGCUUUCUGGAAAAGGGGGUCCAGGGCCUGUGUCCAGACCCUGCUGUAAUGCACUCUUGACACCCCUCCAAGCCCCAGCCUCUGCCCCCAUCCGAGGAUCCCAGAAUGGCUUCUGGAGGCCCAGUUCCUGCAGACCUGUGAGGAGGGCAGGGUCUCCGUCCGUCAUGCACACAGCCCCAGGGGCACCACCAGGGCCACGGUGGCUUCACGGACAGCAGUGAUGCCCCCCACUUGGCCCAGCCAGGCCUGCAAAGGAGUGCGGGGCACACUCCGCACAGCCCCAAGGCCUCAUGCUCCUGGAGGCAUGGCCUCCAGCCCCAGGAUGGCUGCUGAGCUACGCCACGGGGCUGGGACGCUCUGGAGAUGGACAGGAGCACGCAGGAGAAGCCGCCACCCGCGCUCCUGGCCCUACCCCAGUUCAGACGAACUCUGGCUGCCUCGCUCUGCAGGAGCCAAGUGCAAUCCACCCACCACGGAGCCUCAUGGGGGGCAGUGGGGCCUGCGGCACGUUGUUGGAGUGGUUGGUGUUGAACCCUGAGAGCUGCAGAGCUGAGCCCCCGUCCCCGUCCCCAUCCUCAUCCUCUCUGGCCACAGCCUCCAGCUGUUCUUCACUACCACUAUGGCUGCCAGAAGCCUCCUCCAGGCUGGCCUCGUGCUGGUGCUGCUCCAGGAAGCUGAGGCGGCGCAGGGCACUGGCCUCCGAUGAGGACAGCAGCUCGGAGGCCUCCUCCAGGUCCGAGUCGGAGUCGUUGGACACAACUCGGGAUUCUGAGGAAGGGAGAUGGAGGGAAGAGAGAGAUGGGGAGAAACAGUGGAGGGAGGGAGGAGAGGACUGUUAAUGUGGCCUGGCUGUCCGACCCAAGUCUCAUCUGGUAGCUCCCAUAAUUCCCACGUUGUGGGAGGGGCCUGGCAGGAGACGGUGGAAUCGUGGGGCAGGUCUUUCCUGUGCUGUUCCCAUGACAGUGAGUCUCACCAAGAUCUGGAGCCAGGUGCGGUGGCCACUCUGGGAGGCUGAGGUGGGUGGAUUGCCAGGUCAGGAAAUCAAGAGCAGCCUGGCCAACAUGGUAAAACCUUGUCUCUACUAAAAAUACAAGAUCUAGGCUGGUGGUGCGUGCCUGUAAUGCCAGCUGCGCAGGACACUGAGGCAGAAUUGCCUGAACCUGGGAGGUGGAGUUUGCAGCCAGCUGAGCGCACGGCGUCGCACUCCAGCCUGGAGACAGCUAGACUCCAUCUCAAACAACGAACCGAGUUUCCCGGCCUGGUGCAGGGGCUCACACCUAUAAUCCCAGAGUUUUGGAAGCCGAGGCGGACAGAUCACGAGGUCAGGAGUUUGAGACCAGUCUGCCCAACAUGCUAAAACCCCACCUCUCCUAAAAAUGCAAAACUUGGUCGGGCAUGGCCAGGUGUGGUGGUUUAUCCCUGAAAUCCCAGCGCUUUGGCAGGUCACCUGAGGUCGGGAGUUUGAAACCAGCCUGGCCAACCCUAUCUCUGCUAAAAAUACAAAAAUUAGCCGGGCGCCGUGGUUCAUGCCUGUACUCCCAGCACUUCGUGAGGCCAAGGUGGGCGGAUCACGAGGUCAGGAGAUUGAGACCAUCCUGGACAACUUGGUGGAACCCCAUCACUAAAAUACAAAAGAAAAGCCGGGCAUGGUGUUUCCAGCUGUUCACAGGCUAAGGCCAGGAAAUUGCUUUAACCGGGAGGCGGAGGUUGCAGUGAGCCGGGAUUGCACCACCGAACUCCAGCCUGGAGACAGGGAGACUGUCUCCAAAUCAGGUGAACGUGGGGGCAGGUGCCUGUAAUCUCAGCUACUUGGGAGGCUGAGGCAGGAAAAUUGUUUGAACCCUGGAGGCGGAGGUGGAAAUGAGCAGAGAUGGAGCCAGGCUGGGGGCGGGUGUCCUGGCACAGGCUCUCUGCCGCCAUCCAUGCAGGAUGUGACUUGCUCCUAGCCUUCCACCAUGUAUUUCAGGCCUCCCCACCUACAUGGAACUGAGUCCAUUAAACAUCUCUCGUAAAUUG